rnacentral:rRNA from 1 species
ACGGGGGCCCGGCGACAAGCGGUGGAGCAUGUGGUUUAAUCGAAGCAACGCGAAGAACCUUACCAGGUCUUGACAUCCCGAUGCUAUUUCUAGAGAUAGAAAGUUACUUCGGUACAUCGGUGACAGGUGGUGCAUGGUUGUCGUCAGCUCGUGUCGUGAGAUGUUGGGUUAAGUCCCGCAACGAGCGCAACCCCUAUUGUUAGUUGCCAUCAUUCAGUUGGGCACUCUAGCGAGACUGCCGGUAAUAAACCGGAGGAAGGUGGGGAUGACGUCAAAUCAUCAUGCCCCUUAUGACCUGGGCUACACACGUGCUACAAUGGUUGGUACAACGAGUUGCGAGUCGGUGACGGCGAGCUAAUCUCUUAAAGCCAAUCUCAGUUCGGAUUGUAGGCUGCAACUCGCCUACAUGAAGUCGGAAUCGCUAGUAAUCGCGGAUCAGCACGCCGCGGUGAAUACGUUCCCGGGCCUU